rnacentral:rRNA from 1 species
CAUGUCCUUUUGAUAAUAAUUUAAGGUCUGAUCUGCUCAAUGAUAUUUAAAUAGCCGCAGUAUUUUGACUGUGCAAAGGUAGCAUAAUAAUUAGUUUCUUAAUUAGGGACUGGUAUGAAUGAUUGGACAAGAAGAUUUCUGUCUCUUUUUUAGAUUUUUUGAAUUUUAUUUUUAAGUGAAAAAGCUUAAAUUUUUAUAAAAGACGAGAAGACCCUAUAGAGUUUUAUAUUCUUAAGUAAUUUGAUGUUGGAAUUUAAUUUUACUUUAGUUUAUUUAGUUGGGGUGACUUGAAGAUUUAAAAAAUUCUUUAAAAUUUUAAUUAGUAAUUUCUAAAUUUUUAAUCUAUUUUUAAUAAAAAUAAAAUAAAUUACCUUAGGGAUAACAGCGUAAUUUUUCUUUAAAGCUCUUAUUAAAAGGAAAGUUUGCGACCUCGAUGUUGGAUUAAAAUUAAUUUUUGGUGCAGUAACUUAAAAAUUAGGUCUGUUCGACCUUUAAAAUUUUACAUGAUCUGAGUUUAAACCGGUGUAAACCAGGUUGGAUUCUAUCUUUAGAUAGUUAAUAUAUUUUAGUACGAAAGGACCAAAUAUAUGUUAAAUUAAUU